UAUAUCUCUGCUUGGUAUACGAAAACGGACACCCGGUUGUGUGAUUCGGAACAUGAACUAGAACUUGAGGCAAAUGGGGGCCUCGUGUCUGACCUGGGCCUCCCGUGGAGGGGCGUGUUAAAGAAAAGUAUCCCAGUGCCCCAGGCACAGCACACCUCUCGUGUGUGUAGAGCGGCGAUCUGGGUCUCUCUCUUUGCGAGUAGUACCUUAAAUGCCUUGAGCAGAGGCUUCUUCAGUCUUACUGAUUAUAAGGAAAUCAGUUCGUCGCAAGAUGAACCUUGAUGGACUUGGUCGGUUCGACACGAAAAAGCACGCAAACUUGAGAGUACGUCUCUUUGCUUCACGCAUUCUACAAUCAAAAGUUCAGUUGAAAACAAGUAGUUGGGCGUGAAGACCCCAGCGAACGGGUGCAGUACAGGACUCGAAGCUCGUGCAUUUAGCGUGCGCCUGAGUGGAAUGUGUUGUGCUGCAUCACUGAAUAAAAACGAUUCGAAUGCAUUUUGUAAUCCGACCUCAGUUCAGGAGAGACUACCCCCGAGAUUUAAGCAUAUUAAUACGGGGAGGAAAAGAAACUAAAAAGGAUUCCAUUAGUACCGGCGAGGGAACAUGGAGAAGCCCAGCGCUGAAUCCCCUCGGCUUACGUCGUGCGGGAAAUGUAGCGUUAAGGAGUGUCCGUCAACACGCAUGAGUAUCGCUCGCUUAAGUCCAACUUGAACGGGGCCACACAGAGGGUGACAUGCCCGUGUAGCAGCUGGUACGAAGCGUGUGGGCAUCUCCUCAGAGUCGGUUUGCUUGAAAAUGCAGACCUAAGAGGGUGGUAAACUCCAUCUAAGGCUAAAUAUGACCACGAGACCGAUAGCACACAAGUACCGUGAGGGAAAGGUGAAAAGAACUUUGAAGAGAGAGUUCAAGAGUACGUGAAACUGAGCUGAUGUAAAGCGGUCAGAUGCGAAAAGUGCGAACGGAGUUGACUCAACUACACUGCGAUACCUCACUGGAGAGGGGACAGUGCGGACCGGGACCCCUUCCCGGAGCCUCCGCGCUGCCCCGAUUCGGGGACGGUUCAACAGCUGUAACCGCACUUCUGCUUAGUAGCACGUCGCGACUCGUUGGGUCGCCGCUCCAGGGCCCGAGGUGGAGCACUCGCUUUUGCGAAGACCCCCGGUGACCUGAGCGGUGCCCGACGGUGUUAUACGGGCGAGGCCUUUCCGCCAAAGGGAGGAGCUUAAGUGCUCAUGGCCUCGCCGGUCCGCGGCGCUUCUGCUUCCGCUACCUGACCCGACCCCCCGA
rnacentral:rRNA from 1 species